rnacentral:rRNA from 1 species
UACGUAGGGUGCAAGCGUUGUCCGGAAUUAUUGGGCGUAAAGAGCUCGUAGGCGGUUUGUCGCGUCUGCUGUGAAAACUCGGGGCUUAACCUCGGGUCUGCAUUCGAUACGGGCUAGCUAGAGUGUGGUAGGGGAGAUCGGAAUUCCUGGUGUAGCGGUGAAAUGCGCAGAUAUCAGGAGGAACACCGGUGGCGAAGGCGGAUCUCUGGGCCAUUACUGACGCUGAGGAGCGAAAGCGUGGGGAGCGAACAGG